GCCCCCAUCGUCUAGAGGACUAGGACUCGGGCCUUUCAAGCCCGCAACAGGGGUUCGAAUCCCCUUGGGGGCA
rnacentral:tRNA from 1 species